rnacentral:rRNA from 1 species
AACGAACGUUGGCGGCGUGGAUUAGGCAUGCAAGUCGAACGCGUGAGAGGGGCUUGCUCCUCAAGCGAGUGGCGAACGGGUGAGUAACGCGUGGGAAACCUGCCCCGAAGCGUGGAAUAACACUCCCAACGGGGUGCUAAUACCGCAUGGUAUCGCCGGGUGGCAUCAUUUGGCGAUUAAAGGUGGGGACCGUAAGGCCUGCCACUUUGGGAUGGUCCCGCGUCUGAUUAGCUUGUUGGUGAGGUAACGGCUCACCAAGGCGACGAUCAGUAGCUGGUCUGAGAGGAUGGUCAGCCACACUGGGACUGAGACACGGCCCAGACUCCUACGGGAGGCAGCAGUGGGGAAUUUUGGACAAUGGGCGCAAGCCUGAUCCAGCAAUGCCGCGUGCAGGAAGAAGG